GCACAAUGUGCACAUGUACCCUAAAACUUAAAGUAUAAUAAUAAAAGAAAAAAAAACUUAAAAAAAAAAAAAGAUUUUCACUACCUUCUCCACUAGCAGAGAUACAUGUUUGCAUUUUGUUAAAUUACAAGACAUACUUUUUUAAAAUUGUGAAACCCUACAGAGAGAAGGUUUAGGCUGAAUUAAAAACUAAAAUUCAAAUAACUCCUAUUUUUAAAAGAAGUAUUUUUUAAUCUCUAAGUUACCUUCUCUUUCUUCUCUCUGUCUCUCUUACACACACACACACACACACACACACACACACACACACACACACACUCUCUCUCUCUCUCUUACCCAUAGGUUUAUUUUCCUGAGCUUAUUUUCUCAUCUACUUCUUAAACUAAUAUAGACUAUGAAUUUCAUAAGAUAGCUCAAAUUGUUUUCAGAACAAGACAAGAUAAAGAUUAAUAAUAAUAUCAGAACAUUCUGUCUGGAAAGACACAAGAAGCUGCCUUAGCUGUAUUCUCAAGGAAAUAACCUUGAAAAGUUUCAUUACCAUGUAACUGUUUAUCAAGAGAUACAGAAGAGCUUAUUGAAAAGGCACUUCAUCCAAACCUCAGUGAGGAUGACAGUGCUGAUGCUUCCUGGGCUGCUAUUUCCCAUGACCUUGUCCUACCCCAGCCCACCCCAACCCUGCUGUUAACUUUCAAUCUUCAGAAGACUGGGACGGAAAAUGUCAAUGCAGUAUUUUUAAUUUUGGUUUGCAUAAAAAUCACUUGGAAAGAAAUGCUAAAAUGCAGAUUCUAUGGCAACAUUCUUAGAAAUUCUGAUUCAGUUUGUCUGGGGGAGGCUGAGAAUUUGAAUAUUUAGAAGUAACCCUCUGCCCUUGCUCCCAUGAUUCUAACACAUGUGAUGAUGCACACCAAAUUUUGAGGAAUAUGAUUUAAGUAAACUUCUUAAUUGUAUUCAAUGGUAUUGGUAUUUUUGUUAUUGUUGUAGUAACGUAAAAAGUGAAAUUAACCUAAUAAAAAUGUUUCAAUUGUCUGUUUUUAUUUUAAUAAGAUUGACAUAUUUUUGUGUUCUGGUUUUGCUAGCUUCAUUUAAUACAUUGAUGUCUCUUAAAAGAUUUAAAAAAUGAUGUUAACUAUUCAGAAAGCAAAAAAAAAAAUUCUGUUACUUAAGAUUUUAACAUAAUUAGUAGGCAAAAUAAUCUAAUCCUGAGGUUUUGUUUGUUUGUUUGAAGUAAUCCAUACAGAGCAUAUUAUUCUGCUAUGGUUACUGAUCUAACAAAAAUUGCAAAUUGGUUCAGAGAUGGAAGAGUAGCCAAGUUUGGGCAGAACAUAUCAUACAUAAGAGGGUCUAACGGAAUACAGGAAUGGAAAAUUCAUAUGGGACUCGUUCAUGGAGGGCCUUAAAUAGGUAUAGAAUAAAUAGCUAACAAAACAUUUAUAUGUACAUUAUAUCAUUUUAUGUUUAUAAUAGCACCAUGAAAUAGGUAGUAUCUCCAUUCUCAUUUUAUAAAUGAGGAAACCAAGGAUUGGGAUGGAUUUAGAAGAAGGGCUCUGAUUAGGAAACCAAAUCCAAGUAAGUAUCAGUGAGGAAAUACAUCCUUAGGGACAAAGUAAAAUGUUAGAACAGAGCAUCCACAGUGCCUGGGAUCAGAUGAGCAAGGUGGAGUUUUGAAGGGCCUAUGUGAUAGCAGUCUCUUCUGGGUGUUUGGUAUUGGUAGCCUCACAAGGUAGUUUUGCCAUCUCAGAACAUCUUUUGAUGUUUAGUUCGUCUGAUUCUACUUUUUCUAGUUAUUUGACACUUCCCAAGCAGAGGUUCAUCAAGAUGAUUUGACACUUCAAACUUACAUAUUUUAGGGGCUAUCUUUAAGUAAAAGAAUUUCUCAAAAAUCUCAUUUUUGUAACAUUCAUAAAAACAGACCAUGUUAUCACAUUUCUAAUACUCCUCCUAGUAACCUAUGAAAAUGAAGGGACAUUUAACAAAAGUAUAUUUAGCUUCAUAAUAAACCUGUUUCUGCUCUUGGGUAAGAAUUAAAAUUUUGGGCUUGGUGCAGUGGCUCCUGCCUGUAAUCCCAGCACUUAGGGAGGCCGAGGCAGGCAGAUCACCUGAGGACAGGAGCUCGAGACCAGCCUAGAAAACAUGGCGAUACCCUGUCUCUAUUAAAAAGACAAAAAUUAGCUGAGCAUGGUGGUGGGCGCCUGUAAUCCCAGCUACUUGGGAGGCUGAGGCAGGAGAAUUGCUUGAACCUGGGAGGCGGAGGCUGCAGUGAGCCAAGAUUGUGCCCUGCAUUUCAGUCUGGGCAACAGAGUGAGACUCCAUCUCAAAAAUAAACAAAUAAAUAAAUAAUUAAAUUUUAAUAGGAAGUUUCAAGAUGUAGUAGUUAAAGUAUUAACUUACAGAGUGGGAAUUUCAUAAAUCUAGAACUGUAUGAACCUCAAAUUAUGCCAGUAAGGAUGUCAUAACUUUUUACUUAGGGAUCAGCUCUUUCGGACAGUAUCCAGGGUCACUGGUAGAGACUGUGUGUUGUACAAGAGUCAUGGCAGACAUGAUCCCUAGGUCCCUAUUUUCUUCCUUCCUAGAAAUAUAGGCAUGUGUUUCUAUUUCUAUAUGCAUGUAUGUGUGUGUGUUUGUAUCUAUAUAUAUUCCUGUAGAUGUACAAGUGAAGUCAUAGAAAUUUGAAUAGAAAAAAGGGGUAAUUUGUUCUGGAAUUCUCAGGCCAAUGCCUCUAUGUUAGAAAGGUAAAAUAUCUCCUCACUUAUUCAACUGCUAUGGACUAAAUUGUGUCCUGCCCGCCCCCCUCCCCAGUUUCAUAUGUGGAAGCACUAAUCCCUAGUGUGAUGAUAUUUGGAGGUGGGGCCUUUGUAGGGUAAUUAGAGUUACAUGAGGUCAUGAAUGGGGCUUUCAUGAUGGAAUUAGUGGCCUUUUAAGAAGAGACAUCAGAAAACUUGCCUCCUUUUCUCUCUCUCUGCCACAAGAGAAUACAAGAAGGUUGUGGUCUAUAGGCCAAGAAGAGAGCCCUCAUCAGGAAAUGAACCCUGCAAGACCUCAGUCUUGGAUUUCCAGCCUCCAGAACUAUGGGAAAAUCCAUUUCUGUUAGUUAAACCACUCAGUUUAUGGUAAUUUGUUAUGGCAGCCUGAGCAGACUAAGAUACCCAUCAUAUAGCUAAUUUUUGAAAUGAAAUGUGCAAAGAUAGUUGAAUAUAAUAAAAGUACCUUGUGAGAUAUCAAUAAAAAAAAGUCUUCGAAGUGGUUUAAAUCAAUUACUUAUCCACUCUGCUAUGGCAGUUCCAACUUGGAUUUUAUGUUUAUAAUGAUGCAACAGUCUUCAUGGUGACUUCCUGAAUGUGGAUUCUUCUGUAUCCAUGCUGCUACAAAAUUAAUUUUCCUUUAAAACAUAUACAUUUACUUGUAUUCAUUUAUUUAGCUAAUCGCUCAGCUAUUCAUUUGUUUUUCAUUUAUUCAUUUAUUUUGGAGAAUCAAAGGCAAAGAAGUCAUUGUCAGGGACUGGCAGUCUAGUGCAUAUUCACAUAUAGCUAGAAACAAGAUACCUCAAAAUAUACGUAGAUUACACACUGGGAACUAUGCAGCCCAGAAAGGAGAGACAUUCCUUCAGGUUGGGGUGUAGGAAGCUGAGUUUGAGCUGGAUCUUGGUGUCUGAAUGGGAUUUCAACCAGUGGAGAUGAAGAAAAGAGCAAUUCAGAGAUGAAAUAAUACAUUUCGAGGCAUGAGGAAAAAAUAGCAUGUUCUUUAAGGACAAGUACACAUAGUUUGCUUUUAUUAGUUUAGAGUAUAUGUAGGGAAGAUAAAACUGAAAAACUUCUAAAGAUUUAGAAACUUAGAAAAAAACUUACAAAGUAAAGUCACCGACUAAGUUUUCCAGGUUUUGUUCUCCCUUAUCUCUAGGUAAGGGAGAAUAAUUACAGGAUUUUACAGCAUUUUAUUAAGCAGCAGCAAUAACAACAAUUAAAACAGGAACUUGAGUUUUAGAUCUGCUUUCAGAAUGCCACUGCUAGUUCAUUGUUCAUGAGGUCAUUGAAUCAGCAAUAUUGAGAAAGAUGAUGUGAUCCAGGACGCGAUCAUCCUUGAGAUGGUGAAAUGGGAGUAGACAAAAUCACCAAGGGAGAGAACAUAUAGAAAGAGAAGACUAGAGGACUCAGACCAAAACCAUUUCUGAAUGGGGAGUGGGGAAAAAGGAGGAAGAAGUAUUAAGAGAGCAAGAAUUCUACAAAAUCAGGAUGCUAAAGAAAGGGACUUUCAAAAGGGGGGAUUUUAGUCCCGUCCUGCAUUAUAUUUUACAUGUUUUGGGCUUAUCUGUUUUCCUUUUAAAAUAAAAAUAUGUUUCUAUAUUGUUAGGGCAACAGUUGUUAUUGUUACUUUAACAGUGUUCAACACUGUGCUGAAGGUACUGCUAAGGACAUUGUUAGGCAUUUAAUAAUACUUGCUUAUUGAUUAAUUUUUAUAAUAUCCAAAUAAUGAUAAAAAAUCUCACUUAUUACAUUUAUAAUGAGCAGUUCUAGGUGCAUUACAUGGAUCAUUUAUUUAAUCCCCACAAUGAGCAAAUGAGGUAAUGUUCAUUAUUUCAAUGAAGGUAGAAUAAAAACCUAAAAGAAUAAAAACCUAAAAGAUUCUUCACCCUGAAGAAUCUUGAAAUUCACUUUGAAUUUUAAAACUGUGAGUUGAAACUCUUUAUCUCCCUUAUUUUAAAAAAUAUUUUCCAAGUACAUGCUGUGUGAAAAGCGUUAUAUUAGGUAUUUGGGGGGUGCCCAGGGGAGGCUGGGAAGGCAUGCCUGUUAUCCACAUUGUUAGAAAAGUUUUAUUCUCUUUACCUUAACCCUUAACAACCUUCUCUAGAAAGAAAAAAGCUCAGAUUUCACCCCCAACAAGUUUAUUAGAUAGACCAUUUGAAAAAUUAUAAUUGGAGAUUUCCUAAUUUCGAAACUUUAGAUUUAAGGUUGCUAGUUAAAAAUCUUAAUUCAUAGUUUUUAAAAAACAGAAAAUAAUAACAAGUGUUGGUGAUGAUGUGGAGAAACUGGAAACUUGUGCAGUCUCAUUAUUGGUAGAAAUGUAAAAUGGUGCAGCUGCUGUGGAAAACGAUAUGGAGAUUCCUCAAGUAAUUAAAAUAGAAAAACCAUAUAUGAUCCAGCAUUUCCACUUCUGGGUAUACACACAAAAUAAUUGCGAGUAGCGUCUCAAAGAGGUAUUUUUACACCCAUGUUUAUAGCUACAUUAUUUAUAAUGGCCAAAAGGAGGAAGCAACUCAGUGUUCCUUCAUGAAUAAAUGAACAAAAUGUGGUAUAUACAUAACAACGAAAUAUUAUUCUGUCUCAAAAAGGAAGGCAGGUCUGACAUAUGGCACAACAUGGAUGAAUUUUGAGGCCAUUAUGCUAAGUGAAAUAAGCCAGUCACAAAAAAAGACACACACUGUAUUAUUUCAUUUAUAUGAAGUACCUAGAAUAGUCAAAUUCAUAGAGACAGAAAGUAGAACAGUUACUGCCAGGGAAUAGGAGGAGGGGAGAAUCGGAAAUUGUUGUUUAAUGGAUAUAGAGUUUCAGUUUAACAAGAUGAAAAUAGUUUUGGAAAUUGGCUCCACAAUUGUGUGAACGUACUUAAUGCUACUGAAAUGUACAUUUAAAAAUGAUUACAUUGGUAAAUUUUAUGUAUAUUUUACCACAGUUUAAAAACAAGUAAAACAAUUUAACUCAGUUUUUUUAAGUUUGUUUUUAAUUAUUAUGGGUACAUAAUAAGUUUAUAUAUUUAUGGGGUGCAUGUGAUGUUUUGAUACAGGCACAUAAUGUAAUAAUCAAAUCAGAGUAAUUGAGGUAUCCAUCACCACAAAUAUUUAUCAUUUCCUUGUGUUAGAGAAAAGAUUUUAAUUCCACUGUUUUAGUUAUUUAAAAAUACACAAUAAAUUAUUGUUAACUGUAGUCACCCUUUGUGCAAUCAAAUACUAGAUCUUACUCAUUUUAUCUAACUAUAUUUUCAUGCCCAUUAACUGUCCCACUUAAUUCAGUUAUUCUAUAUAAAGUAUAAAUCUAUUUUAUUAUCAGUUUUUCAUAGCCUUUGAACACUGUGUAUCCUAAUACACAGAAAACCCCACUUAUGUUGUGCAGCUUUGGCUGUGUAUAUGGUACACAUACGGAUUCAAAACUCAAAGAAGGAAUUGGCCAUGAACAAAAGAUAAAGUGAAUAAGUGUUUACAUCCCCACGACUAACAAUGUGCUUAACUAUUCAAAAUGGGAACUUCUUAGAAAACUUUAAUUUAGGUUGCCUGAUAAAAAGCCUAUUUUUGACUUGAAAUGAAGAACAAUUAAUUUUACUAAAGGCUUCAGUAGUGAUGAUAAUACAGGACCUGAUUAUACUUUAUAAUGACACCAGAUAAGGUAAUUUUUAAAAUGUUUUAUUGGAUCUAUGAAAGGAUCAUUGUGUGACCUGCAUUAAAAAAAAAUCUACUCUCCAAAGAAUUAUCUGUGGUUAGGCUAUGAUUAUUAGGUCAAGUUAUGUGUUUGAAGUUGAUUAAUCCCUUUCUUGAGAUGAUUGCCGUAACUCUUACUGUUUACAAUUAAUCCCUUCUGUAAUCUGGCCCUGAGUUAUUUUGAUGGUAAAUCUGAGGAUCCAUGCAGUAUUCAUUUCCCAUAUACAGACACAUAAUGGUGGGCAAUAGUCUUGCCAUUAUCUAUGGAUUAAUUCAAAUUUGAUAGAAUUAUCUCUCUCCAGAGAUAGAUUAUGAAAGACUUUUAAGGGAACAGAUUUCCAUACUAACUUUAAACUUAAUCAGCUAUUUCAUAAUUAUUCCAGGACUGCUACAAGGAAUCCCAUGGCUUCUUAUUAUUCAUAGCAGCAAGAAAAAAAAUGUAUGCAACCUUUCUUCAUUUUAGGAGGUGGCAAAAGGUCUCAGAGAUUACCCUUCACAUGCUAAUAUUUCACAAAUCUAUUAUUUUGGUGGAUUGGUAAAGGAAAAGUAACUUUCAAGAGUCUUCAGUAUUCUUUUCUUAUCCUCAAAAGCAUCUUUCAUGUAACUAAAAUUCUUUCAGUGCUUCUGUAGUUAUUGAAAGAGCUUUCAUUCAUAAUGUUACACUAGGGAAAAUAUUGAGUUUUUGCCAUUUGAAAUGGAAAUGUAAAAUAGAGUUUACUGUUUCCACUGCGUUGUUUUAUCCCUUCAACUGUGGUUAAACAACAACUGGACUUUAGAAAGAUUUCUGAGAAAUCACUGGCCACCAUAAAGGACCGUAUAUCCUGUUUUGCUUCCUUCCUAUCUUGAUUUUACUUUCUACUUGCUAAUAAUUUAUAUAUUAAAAUAAUAUCUUCUAAGAAUUAACUUAUUACGUACAACAUGUAUUACUCUCCCUAUGUUUAUGUUUCUAUCAAAUUACAUGCUGCAUUUUUGCUUGAAGUAGGUAAAAUAUUUAAUUGCAUAGGCAUAUAUGACGUCAAUUAGAAAUAUUUUUCAGUUUUUACUCCGGAGGUGUGCUAUGGUCUGAAUGUGUCUCCCUAAAUUAGUAUUUUGAAACUUAAUCACCAAUGUGCUAGUAUUAAGAGGUGGGCUGAGGUGAGGUGAUAACAUCCUAAGGGCUCCUCCCUCCUGUAUGGGAUUACUGCCGUAUAAGAAAGGCUUCACCCUGCAUUCACCCCAUUUUGCCCUUCCCUCUUUCACCAUGUGAGGAUGCUGCUGAGAGAAAACACCAUGGAUGGAAGGGGCCCACAUCAGACGUCAAACCUGCUGGUGCCUUGAUCUUGAACUUCCUGGCUUUGAGAACUGUGACAAAUACAUUUCUGUCCUUUAUAAAUUACCCAGUCUUGGGUAUUUUGUUACAGCAGCACAAAUGGACUAAGACUACCUAAUUCGUGAAGACAUGGGAAGAUUUAUUUUUGUUUUCAGCUGUGCACUACAAGGUGCUUCUAUCGCUUUACCUCUCAGUACUGUAAGCCUAUAGAAAUCAAAGAUUGUCUUUCCCUGUUACAUGUAUUUUAUGAAAACUCCACGGGUUAUUCUGAUGUACAAUCUGAUUGAAGAACUAGUGUGCUAGGAAUGUAUCCCCACAAUAUUCCUGAGAGAAGGAGAGCAUGUGGCUAGUGCUUGUCCAGCAGAAGGGUUCGUGUGUUCACAGCAGGCAGUGCUAAUUGACUGUGGGUUUUCUCCAGAUUAGUCUUUAGCGAUCAUCUCUAGAAGUUACCAUAUUGGCACAAAAGUUGGAACUCAUUUGUCAUCCUUGGCCUAAAAUGUCCUCUAUUUGCACAGCAAUUACAAUCUGUAACUUCAGUUGGACAAAUCUAUUCCAUGUGUUGCUAUAAAGUAAUAUCAAGUGAUAUCACAGUAUUUCAACAAGUUCAUUUUUCAAUGAAUAAAAAUAAUUGAAACUGAUGCUUUUUUCUUUUUCUAAAAUAAUUUUCCUUUUAUUGUCAGUAAUUCAGGCUCCCACUCAGAAAAUCCUUUGUGAGUCAAAUUUGAUAAUACUUCUUUUUUAGUUUCUCUACCUAAAGAGAAUAAUAUUGUCUAGUGAUUAAGCACAUAAACUCUUGUCAUAG
rnacentral:lncRNA from 1 species